GUGUCACGUGAGACAAGACAAGGUCAGCGCUCCCCGUGACGAGGGUGGAAGAGGCCCUCCAGCCUGACAGCAGGCAUAUCGUUUAGGCAUUGCCACCACCUCUGUGGCAUCUAACCAUCUUUUCUU